rnacentral:rRNA from 1 species
UACAGAGGGGGCAAGCGUUGUUCGGAAUUACUGGGCGUAAAGGGCGCGUAGGCGGCCUUCUAAGUCGAACGUGAAAUCCCCGGGCUCAACCCGGGAACUGCGUCCGAUACUGGAAGGCUUGAAUCCGGGAGAGGGAUGCGGAAUUCCAGGUGUAGCGGUGAAAUGCGUAGAUAUCUGGAGGAACACCUGUGGCGAAAGCGGCGCACUGGACCACAACUGACGCUGAGGCGCGAAAGCUAGGGGAGCAAACAGG